UAAAGAUGGGGUCUUUAGGGUAGGUUUUGGGGACUUUCCCCCACUUUUUUUGGGGUGUCAAUUUUUUUCAACACUUGUAGGUGUGUUUAGUGCGAGAAUAUGAAAAAAAAUUUUGAGCCUAAGAAAAAUUGAAUUUUUUGGGAAUUUUUUUAUUAAAGAUGGGGUCUUUAGGGUAGGUUUUGGGGACUUUCCCCCACUUUUUUUGGGGUGUCAAUUUUUUUCAACACUUGUAGGUGUGUUUAGUGCGAGAAUAUGAAAAAAAAUUUUGAGCCUAAGAAAAAUUGAAUUUUUUGGGAAUUUUUUUAUUAAAGAUGGGGUCUUUAGGGUAGGUUUUGGGGACUUUCCCCCACUUUUUUUGGGGUGUCAAUUUUUUUCAACACUUGUAGGUGUGUUUAGUGCGAGAAUAUGAAAAAAAAUUUUGAGCCUAAGAAAAAUUGAAUUUUUUGGGAAUUUUUUUAUUAAAGAUGGGGUCUUUAGGGUAGGUUUUGGGGACUUUCCCCCACUUUUUUUGGGGUGUCAAUUUUUUUCAACACUUGUAGGUGUGUUUAGUGCGAGAAUAUGAAAAAAAAUUUUGAGCCUAAGAAAAAUUGAAUUUUUUGGGAAUUUUUUUAUUAAAGAUGGGGUCUUUAGGGUAGGUUUUGGGGACUUUCCCCCACUUUUUUUGGGGUGUCAAUUUUUUUCAACACUUGUAGGUGUGUUUAGUGCGAGAAUAUGAAAAAAAAUUUUGAGCCUAAGAAAAAUUGAAUUUUUUGGGAAUUUUUUUUAUUAAAUAUGGGGUCUUUAGGGUAGGUUUUGGGGACUUUCCCCCACUUUUUUUGGGGUGUCAAUUUUUUUCAACACUUGUAGGUGUGUUUAGUGCGAGAAUAUGAAAAAAAAUUUUGAGCCUAAGAAAAAUUGAAUUUUUUGGAAAUUUUUUAUUUAAGAUGGGGUCUUUAGGGUAGGUUUUGGGGACUUUCCCCCACUUUUUUUGGGGUGUCAAUUUUUUUCAACACUUGUAGGUGUGUUUAGUGCGAGAAUAUGAAAAAAAAUUUUGAGCCUAAGAAAAAUUGAAUUUUUUGGGAAUUUUUUUAUUAAAGAUGGGGUCUUUAGGGUAGGUUUUGGGGACUUUCCCCCACUUUUUUUGGGGUGUCAAUUUUUUUCAACACUUGUAGGUGUGUUUAGUGCGAGAAUAUGAAAAAAAAUUUUGAGCCUAAGAAAAAUUGAAUUUUUUGGGAAUUUUUUUAUUAAAGAUGGGGUCUUUAGGGUAGGUUUUGGGGACUUUCCCCCACUUUUUUUGGGGUGUCAAUUUUUUUCAACACUUGUAGGUGUGUUUAGUGCGAGAAUAUGAAAAAAAAUUUUGAGCCUAAGAAAAAUUGAAUUUUUUGGGAAUUUUUUUAUUAAAUAUGGG